AACGAACGCUGGCGGCAGGCUUAACACAUGCAAGUCGAACGCCCCGCAAGGGGAGUGGCAGACGGGUGAGUAACGCGUGGGAAUCUACCCAGUUCUACGGAACAACUGAGGGAAACUUCAGCUAAUACCGUAUACGCCCUACGGGGGAAAGAUUUAUCGGAAUUGGAUGAGCCCGCGUUGGAUUAGCUAGUUGGUGAGGUAACGGCUCACCAAGGCGACGAUCCAUAACUGGUCUGAGAGGAUGAUCAGCCACACUGGGACUGAGACACGGCCCAGACUCCUACGGGAGGCAGCAGUGGGGAAUAUUGGACAAUGGGCGCAAGCCUGAUCCAGCCAUGCCGCGUGAGUGAUGAAGGCCUUAGGGUUGUAAAGCUCUUUCAGUGGGGACGAUAAUGACGGUACCCACAGAAGAAGCCCCGGCUAACUUCGUGCCAGCAGCCGCAGUAAAAC
rnacentral:rRNA from 1 species